CCGGUACUCAGGAGUUACCCCCUACGUCACACUGCUUAGAUGUUAAACCCGAUGAACCUAAAUAUCCAGUAUGAGAAAGUCAUUAUUAUGAGUAUAUUAUUUUAUAAUGUAUUAAUAGUGUGCAUUUUUUUCAUAAAAAGGACAUUGUAAUCUGUUAAUACAAUUUAUAUAUUCUUUUAUAUAUUAUUUUUAUCAUAAAGAGUCAUGUAUAAGUUUACAUAUAAAUUAAUUAAUUUAUUAAUUAAUUGAUGUAAGAUCGAUGAAUUUCUAGAUAAAUAGUUAACAGUAUUAAAAUAUAUAAUGCUUACAUAAUUUUUUAUGUUUUAUAUAUAAUAUGUACAUGUACAUAUAUAUGUUUUUGCAUUUAUAUUAUUAACAAUGCUAUAGAUUUAGGAUCUGCAUUAUCU
rnacentral:rRNA from 1 species